GAAUUCAACUGAAAAAGUCAUCAAUAACAAAGUGGUAUAACUCAUCAAGAUCUAUAACUUCUAUUUGGAUCAUUUCUUCAUCCGACAAAGCGAUAAUAACAUUAUCAUAAAAUUUACAUAUCUCUCUUAUAGUUUAUAAAACUAUAUAUGUAUAUAUAGUUUUAUAAACUAUAAGAGAGAUAUGUAAAUUUUAUGAUAAUGUUAUUAUCGCUUUGUCGGAUGAAGAAAUGAUCAAAAUAGAAGUUAUAAAUCUUGAUGAGUUAUACAAUUUUGUUGUUGAUGACUUUUUCAGUUGAAAUC
rnacentral:pre_miRNA from 1 species